rnacentral:snRNA from 1 species
GGAUAUGAGGGCGAUCUGGCCGUGACAUCUGCCACCCCAUUGAUCGCCAAGGUUGAUCUGGCUGGCUAGGCGGGUGUCUCCUUCCUCCCUCACCAUUCCCUGUGCGUCCCUCCCGCAGCUGUGCGCUCGGUUGAAGAGGACGACCUUCCCCGACAGAGGAGGACCGUACUUCAGUCAAGGGUAUACGAGUAGCUGUGCUCCCCUGCUAGAACCCCCAAACAAGCUCUCAAGAAAAUAUGGACAAAGGAAAAUAUUGGAGGAGUCUGGAGAGGGAAGGGCCUCUUUCUGCUGUGGAGAUUGGGGUUGCUU